rnacentral:lncRNA from 1 species
CCAAACAAUAGUCACACACAUUCAUUAAUUUUCACAUAUAAAUAGUUCAUUUGUUAUGAAUCAAUGACCAGCCAAGUUUUCUAUAAAUAAACUAAUGUAACUAAUUAAAUAGAGUUAACAUGAUAGUUCAUUGCCUCGGAGCAAAAGUUCAUCACUUUGUUUUCUGCAAAACAACAUCUGCCUUGGCUCCUUGUAGUGGGCAACUACUACUCAUCCUCACGGCUUCCCAGCAAGAUUGUUUCAUCGCUCUCGCACUUGACAUCAAAGCCUUCAUUCUUCAUCCCAUUGGAGAACAUUCUCCAGCUUGAACAUCUGCAAAUCAAAAUACCUGAUAAAUAUUCCGCACCAACUACAGAACAUUAUAUUCUCUAAACCGCCUUCAACAUCAUUUCAUACCAAAGCAACUGAAGAGAAUUCAUUACCACUGAGACAGGAAAAGGGGUACCUUUCUAGAAAUUUUAGAAGGGCGCGUACCUUAGCUCACCUCUUUUGUGUUUCCUAUAUCCUGAGAUACAAUGUAUCCUGGUCUAUGUGCCCAUGGGGGAUAACUACCUACAUGCCAUUCCUACAUAAAUGAAAGGAGUAAGAAAUCGGAUGAUUAAGAAAAAGUAGCAGCUGAUUAAGAACAGGUAGCAGCGAAAGCAUUUGCUAAGCAUCUGCAACAUGAUAAAGGAUAUUUCAAUUAGCAUCAUGAGGCUUGCACAGUACAGAAACCAACUACCAUUGCAAACAUUAGCACACAAGAAGCAAAAAAAAAAAACAUUACAAGCAUAACCACACCAGUAUAAAACAGAGCUCACUGGAAUAUAAGUAAAACUAAGAAGUUGGCAUACACAGAAAUAAAUCUAAAAAGGGGAGAUAAAUCACACAGGAAGAAGUGAAUAUUUUCAAGAGACCCUAGAGAGAGAGAGAGAGAGUUCACCUUUUUCUGAUUCACAAAUACACAACACUUAGUUUUUUUGUUGUAUCACUUGCUUUAUGAACUAAUAAUCCAUCUAUAUCUGUCAUAGGAACUAAAGAAUCAUUUCUGUUGGGGUUUGCUACUACAUAUUGUGUUGCUAAUGAAGGCAAUUCGUAUUUGGCAUUUUCUUAUAUGAACAUGGCAACAAAACUAUCGCUAGCAAAAUAGAAACUUGAGUAAAUUCUCAUUUCAAAGAUAUGGAAGUGAUCAUGUUCAGUGGUUCAAAUUUUUAGUAAAAAAAUGUGAAGAAUAGUUUUGAAGUUGUUUCCAUAUUCACUUGCGGUGAUGUACACCCAGAAUUCAGCAGACAGCAGCAUAGCAAGGUUGACAAGUAGCACACCAGCAAGAUCAAACAUAGUUCCACAUCAUUUCAUUUUUCAGCUAGAUAUGAUGCGCACUACAAAGCCAGAACCUAGAAGCUGCACAUGGAUUACAAAGUUUUUGUUAUUUAGUGCACCAGUUGUUAUAGUGGAGUUUCAAUACAAUAAAUAUCAAAAUUACAUAGUUAUAGAAGUGUAUUAAUUAGCCAUGCAUAAUAAUACAAGUCCUUUAAUUGGAAGCACUCCAACGCUCACAUGUAAACAAAGAAGCUUUGAAAUCCAUAAAGUGAGCGCUUCAGCAAGGACAACACCCACUAGCAACUACUCCCUCUGUCCCAUAAUGUAAGACGUUUUUUGACACUACACCAGUGCUAAAAACGUCUUACAUUAUGGGACGGAGGGAGUAAUUGUUAAUUUGGAAUGUGAACAUCAGUAAAACCAUGAUAGCAGAAAGGCCAAGAGCGACUAAGUAAAUGAUUUGGUCUUUUCACUGGACAUGGAAACUGUACAUAAAGACAAGGGAACAUGGCAUCAUACCAUGCGACUAGAUGAGAACAAAAUAAAGUCUAGGAAGCUACUGUGCAUUGGGUGAUACAACAUCGAAUCAAUUGUGCGACAUUUUCAUCAACCCGUGCAUACUCCCUUAAUCAUAGUUGUAGAAUAAGACCAUAUAAUUUAAAAGAGUUCCCUUUAGAUAUCCCGUGUGAAAUCUUACAGCACAAUGGUUUGCAUUAAUGACAACUCCAACAAAUAUCUUAAUAUACAUACAUUGGAAAAUUAACCACAGAUAGUACAUAUAAAAUAUGUUGAGUAUUACACUUCAUAGGAUUUCUGUACACCACUGGUCAUGAUCUUACAGUAUGCACAUAUACCUCUUAAUUUCUCUAAUCACAUAGUAAUAAACUUGCAGUGGAAGGGAUACUAAACAGAGUUUUUGGAGAAAAUAGUGAUGAAAUCCACAAUUAGUACUUCUGAUAACAUUAGAUGAGAGAGAGAGAGACAGAGAGAGAGAGAGUAGUGCAGUUUUUAUUUUGUUGCAAAGACGCAUGUGCGAGUGUACUUGUCUAGUAAAUUAAUUCAAAAAAUGACAUAGUUCUUUUGAUAACCUUGUACGCCACGCAUUAACCCUUGGGGUGCUCACUCUUUGUCUCGAUGUCAGCAUUCUUCACAGGUUGAUAUAGUGUUCCCUUAUUCAUGAGUUAAGCUAGCACCACCUGCUCAUUGGAACACAUAUACUCAUAAUGGUGGUCCCUUGUGAUACAGAAAAAAAAUUGUGGGGAUAUUGCUCAGAUUCAGAAGGCAUUGUAUAGAUUUUUUUUGACUUAUUUUUAUUUAUCAUACUUUCUUACAUGGAAACAAUAUAUAUGCGCAUAGUAUAAGUUAUAUGUACAAAGCAUAAUGAAAAGGUUCAAAUAGCAUAAGACUGUUAUAAUCAAUAUGCAUGAUUAAAGAAGCUUACGUUCGCCUAUUUUUCUCAUAUCAAAUUCAUCAAUAAAAGCUACAGAAAAGCUAACCUUGCCUGACCAAAUACGGGUCAAAUUUGGAAAUUGUUCUGUUCAUCCCAUCCUCUCCUUGCUUUGGAUGCCUCGUAACUAUGCUCAUACACAUGCUAAUAAAUUAGCUCAAGUUAACCUAUAUUUUUUAAAGAACCAAGAGAACCAUGCAACUAAGUGCUGCAAAUACAGUACAUACAAAUGUUUUUCUUCAUAAAUAGUGGCAUAUUAUUGCUAUUACCAUUAUCUUUUCUGAGAAGCACGACAAAGACAUAAAAUUUUACCGUAUAACUUAUUAACCUUACCGAGCAUCAUAAUAUGACCAACUGUGAGAUUAAUUAUCUAAUUCUAUAUAUGCUUUUCCACAUGUUUCAAAUGCCUGAAUCAUUCCCCGAAAAAGAAGACGUCCUAAAUCUUAGAGGCCACUAUAUAACAUGUUUAGCUAUCCAGAUUGCCAGAUCUGCAAAAUCAAUCAGUAGAUGGUCAAUCACUUACCACAUGCAGUUUAAUUGUCCCAGCUUAACAUACGUACAAUGGUGGAGGCAGCUCAUCUGAUUAGAGAUCCGACUAUGCCUAGGGCGGCGCAUAGUCUGGCCCCUGCUGCAUAGGGAGGCAGCGCCUGGAUCUGAUUAGAGAGCCACACAUGGAGACACAUGAGCACGUCUGCACGGGCGCAAGUGUAACAAUCCCUGAAGGUAAAAGAACCAGCAGAUAUCAUCUAAACAAACAAAAUCAAAAUUAGCAACCUCCAGGAUGUAAACUAACCUGCAAUAGUUCAAGUGGCAGCAGCCUUGUCCUAAUAGAAAUCCCGUACUUUCUUCUGUCAUGCUCAUCUAGGAGGAUGGGACGAAAAAGGUGAAAGAUGAACAGGUGAUACUCUACUCAAGUCUCUCUUUUUGCAGGGAGGAACGGGAACCUGGGAGUCGAGGUAAGUGCCGGAGCUGAUGACGCCGCUCGCCGGGAUCCCAACCCUGAAAGCUUCCACGAGAGGUAAGCACUAGCGCCUCCAGGGAGCGCUCCGGCGCCCGCCCUGUCUCCCCCGUCUGCAGUGGGUUAAGCCCCAUCGCUCCCGGGAUCUGCAGCAAAUUAAGCCCCAGAUCUGCCCGGCGGCCGCCGUGAUGACGACGAGGUGAGGAGAGAGACCCGGUUGAGCAGAGGGUUUGAGCGUGUGGGGGCANNN